GAGUAACACGUGAGCAACCUGCCCUGGACUCUGGGAUAAGCGCUGGAAACGGCGUCUAAUACUGGAUAUGAGACGUGAUCGCAUGGUCGUGUUUGGAAAGAUUUUUCGGUCUGGGAUGGGCUCGCGGCCUAUCAGCUUGUUGGUGAGGUAAUGGCUCACCAAGGCGUCGACGGGUAGCCGGCCUGAGAGGGUGACCGGCCACACUGGGACUGAGACACGGCCCAGACUCCUACGGGAGGCAGCAGUGGGGAAUAUUGCACAAUGGGCGGAAGCCUGAUGCAGCAACGCCGCGUGAGGGAUGACGGCCUUCGGGUUGUAAACCUCUUUUAGCAGGGAAGAAGCGAAAGUGACGGUACCUGCAGAAAAAGCGCCGGCUAACUACGUGCCAGCAGCCGCGGUAAUACGUAGGGCGCAAGCGUUAUCCGGAAUUAUUGGGCGUAAAGAGCUCGUAGGCGGUUUGUCGCGUCUGCUGUGAAAUCCCGAGGCUCAACCUCGGGUCUGCAGUGGGUACGGGCAGACUAGAGUGCGGUAGGGGAGAUUGGAAUUCCUGGUGUAGCGGUGGAAUGCGCAGAUAUCAGGAGGAACACCGAUGGCGAAGGCAGAUCUCUGGGCCGUAACUGACGCUGAGGAGCGAAAGGGUGGGGAGCAAACAGGCUUAGAUACCCUGGUAGUCCACCCCGU
rnacentral:rRNA from 1 species